GAUGAACGCUGGCGGCGUGCCUAAUACAUGCAAGUCGAGCGAACAGAUGAGGAGCUUGUUCCCCUGCCGUUAGCGGCGGACGGGUGAGUAACACGUGGAUAACCUACCUCUAAGACUGGGAUAACUUCGGGAAACCGGAGCUAAUACCGGAUAAUAUAUUGAACCGCAUGGUUCAAUAGUGAAAGACGGUUUUGCUGUCACUUAUAGAUGGAUCCGCGCCGCAUUAGCUAGUUGGUAAGGUAACGGCUUACCAAGGCAACGAUGCGUAGCCGACCUGAGAGGGUGAUCGGCCACACUGGAACUGAGACACGGUCCAGACUCCUACGGGAGGCAGCAGUAGGGAAUCUUCCGCAAUGGGCGAAAGCCUGACGCAGCAACGCCGCGUGAGUGAUGAAGGUCUUCGGAUCGUAAAACUCUGUUAUUAGGGAAGAACAAAUGUGUAAGUAUCUAUGCACGUCUUGACGGUACCUAAUCAGAAAGCCACGGCUAACUACGUG
rnacentral:rRNA from 1 species